AUUGAACGCUGGCGGCAGGCUUAACACAUGCAAGUCGAGCGGGGGAAGGUAGCUUGCUACCGGACCUAGCGGCGGACGGGUGAGUAAUGCUUAGGAAUCUGCCUAUUAGUGGGGGACAACAUCUCGAAAGGGAUGCUAAUACCGCAUACGUCCUACGGGAGAAAGCAGGGGAUCUUCGGACCUUGCGCUAAUAGAUGAGCCUAAGUCGGAUUAGCUAGUUGGUGGGGUAAAGGCCUGCCAAGGCGACGAUCUGUAGCGGGUCUGAGAGGAUGAUCCGCCACACUAGGACGGAGACACGGCCCAGACUCCUACGGGAGGCAGCAGUGGGGAAUAUUGGACAAAGGGGGGAACCCUGAUCCAGCCAUGCCGCGUGUGUAAAGAAGGCCUUAUGGUUGUAAAGCACUUUAAGCGAGGAGGAGGCUACUUUAGUUAAUACCUAGAGAUAGUGGACGUUACUUGCAGAAUAAGCACCGGCUAACUCUGUGCCAGCCGCCGCCGUAA
rnacentral:rRNA from 1 species